rnacentral:rRNA from 1 species
GACGAACGCUGGCGGCGUGCCUAAUACAUGCAAGUAGAACACUGAAGGAGGAGCUUGCUCUUCUGGAUGAGUUGCGAACGGGUGAGUAACGCGUAGGUAACCUGCCUGGUAGCGGGGGAUAACUAUUGGAAACGAUAGCUAAUACCGCAUAACAGUAGAUGUUGCAUGACAUUUACUUAAAAGGUGCAAUUGCAUCACUACCAGAUGGACCUGCGUUGUAUUAGCUAGUUGGUGGGGUAACGGCUCACCAAGGCGACGAUACAUAGCCGACCUGAGAGGGUGAUCGGCCACACUGAGACUGAGACACGGCCCAGACUCCUACGGGAGGCAGCAGUAGGGAAUCUUCGGCAAUGGACGGAAGUCUGACCGAGCAACGCCGCGUGAGUGAAGAAGGUUUUCGGAUCGUAAAGCUCUGUUGUAAGAGAAGAACGAGUGUGAGAGUGGAAAGUUCACACUGUGACGGUAUCUUACCAGAAAGGGACGGCUAACUACGUG